rnacentral:lncRNA from 1 species
UUGCUCUUUCUUAGGAGAGAAAUUCCCUAUUUAACACUGUCAUAAAAUAAGAUGCCCUAUUUAAUACUAGAAAAAUAUUUCUUCCCUAUCUAAAUCUAACUUUAAAUUUUGUUCCCAAUAUAACACUCUCAUCUAUUUUCUGAGGCAGUACUGCUAUGCACACGACACAGUGUGCACGAUUUAUGGACGACAGGGCUAUCAAGCCGUCCAUGCAGGUUCAUGCAUGGCAAUUCAGCGGUAGAUGUGCCAUCGUGCAUGGGUCGUGCACACUAACAUCGUGUGCUCAGCAGUUUCGUUUCUGAGGUAACAGUGUUAAAUGGCACAUGAAAUGACAUUUUUGCCGUCAAACAUCAUCAUUAACUGGGUGCGCCCUCUCUUUUCUCUUGUAUCUCUCUGGCUGCGCCCUUUCCUUUCCCUUGUAUCUCCUGAUGUUUGUGCGUGAGUUCUCCCUAGAUGCUUCCUGCGUGUAUGAUGGGUGCGUAAGUUUCCUUUGCAAUGCCUGCGUAUAGUAUAUGUCAGACGCAUCGCACAGCAGUCCCAGAUAUCCUAGAUCGUUGGUGCAUUUCCUUGCCCCCACGUCCAAGUUGUCGGCAUCUUAUCAACACGCCUGCAAAUAAAACAAUAAUGUAUCUUGCCGGGCUUUACGUGGACUUGUUCUUUUUUCUUUAACCGUACAUACACAGG